rnacentral:rRNA from 1 species
GACAGAGGUGCCAAGCGUUAGGCGGAAUCACUGGGCUUAAAGCGUGUGUAGGCGGACUUGUAAGUACCUUGUGAAAUCCCACGGCUCAACCGUGGAACUGCUCGGUAUACUGCUUGUCUUGAGCCACUUAGGGGCUGUCGGAACAAACGGUGGAGCGGUGAAAUGCGCAGAUAUCGGGAGGAACACCAGUGGCGAAGGCGGCUUCCUGGCCUGUUCUUGACGCUGAGGCGCGAAAGCUAGGGGAGCAAACGGG